UGGUCAGCCAUUGACUGGGUGUGAUGUCACUUAAGGGUUGAGUGUGGCUUAUUGUUGAACUGAGGGAUGUUGAUGAAACAUGGGUCAUCAUGUUGUCUGAACCCAACUGAGAUGAACUGUGGUGAACAACCGAGUUUCUAAACCCAACAAACUAUGGUUUCUUUUCACUGUUCAUGGUUAAGUUUUGGCUUGUUAGUACAGCUGGGCUCCAUCAACAUGAAAACCCAUAGCAACCUAUGGUUUAGCAUCAACACAUAUUCUUCCCAUAGUCAACCCCUGAAUGCGGCUUAUCAUGUCUCCUCAACUUGGUAAUCAUGUUGGGUCUGUGUAACAGGUGGGUGGUUUUCCCCUUUCCGGAUAGUUUUGUUUGUUCCAUACGUAUCUAUUAGUGCAUCCUUUUCUUUGAAAUGUAAGAACAAUGCUCUUUGUAAGUGAAGAAAGAAAUAGAGUAUGUUUUUAAUAAGUGGACUACCAACUAACAAUCAGUUGUUUUGCAUUCAUACAGCAAUGAACACGCUUAUAAACAAGAAGGAAUUUUCUCCUCCAGGAAAACUUUCCUAUUAUUUAAAAGCCAUUAAUGAAAGUGGUGGGGGAGGGCACCAGCGGAGCCACAGCUUUUGAUUUUGGCAAUACUGCCUACCACACCACCAGUUGCAGAAUCUGCUUCUGAUUGGGACAAGCCAGUGUUCCAUAUUAAAGCUUCAAAUGUGGACCACUUGCGCCUAUACCGUUCUGUCAGACAAGAAUGGAAGAAUCUGUAUGUGGAGGCAUGACACCACAACUUCUUUUCCUUGAUCCUCGACUUGAGCUCCUGAUUUAGGCUGUAAGCCUGCAAGCCCAUCUUUUCUAAACUGCUGGGAUUUCUUGUCACUAUAAAACUAAGGAUGAAACAAGAAGGGAACUACAGGCAAAGGAGAAAUUAUGCUAUUUCUUUUUCCGUAUCUUCCAUGUUUGAUCAUGUUUCAUAACGAAGUGUUCAGUGCUACAAGCUGAAGGUCACAUUUUGAAAUGGCAGUCCCCAUCCCCCAACCCUUCGUAAUGAACCAUCAUUUUGUUUGCUUAUAAGGGAGGAUAUUUACCAAUUGUUUCUGGAACCUAGAUAGCCUGGGGAAAUGCAAGCCUCCUCUCUUGCCUUUGGUAUAUAGAAUUUUUGCUUUCAUUAUUGAGAAUGAACUUCACAAGUCAGGUUUGCCAUUAGUGUAAUCUUUGCUCAUUUAUAGAAGCUGGUUGUGUUUGGACAGUUAAGGCUGCCAAUCCCAUUUAUACGCUUAUAUGGAAAUACACUCCCUGCCUUCACCUUGUCCUUGAGAGUUCUAGAGGACUCAAAUGUGGGCCCACUAUUUGGUGACCUUAUGUUGGUGUAACACAAGUAAUAAUGGGCGCUGGAUUUGGGUUUUUUGGAUGUUCAGCAUGGCUAUUUUUGCUUUAGACAGCCUGUGAAAGCAGGCAACUUCAGGGGGCUCUGGCGUAACUUCCACGUCCCCCCACCACAAGCAGUACUUCUGCCACUCGGCUGCAAUUCAGGGAUGCAACAGUGGCGAAAACCAGUCCGUCAUUUACUGUGAAAUUUGGCUGCAAGCUGCUACGAGGGCUUAAAAAGGACCAGCAUAGUAUGUUCUAAAGCUAAAGUUACCCUUUUAAAGCCUGUGUGGCAGUCUGCUGCCAGAAUUCGUUGGCAAACGCCUGACAGUUUUUCUGCUGCUGCACUACUGCAGAUGCGGUCUGCAACAGAGACAGAGAGCACAUGCUGCUCCAUGCGUAGGAUUGUUCUGCAUUGCCUGAAAAUAGAGUUAGAAAUGUACUGAGUGCUUUCUGCCCUCCAGAGAGCUAUAUUGCACCAGGAUCUUUGCACAUUGGAAAAGAAGCACAUGUGAAGUCAGCAUGGGCUUGAACUAGUCAUCUGGACCUUAGAUCACUUUUGGGGUUCUGUUUUAGGUGUUAAUGUUUUAUGUAUUCUCAGCUUCAAGAACUGGCAUAACAUAUUAUCUUAAAAUAACAACUGAAUGGAUGAAUUGAGAAUAAGCAAAAUCAGUGCCUAUUUAUUUAUUUAGUGUAUCCCCCCAUCUUUUUCCUGCAAGGAAGCUAUGGUUUUCCUCCAUCGCUUCUCCAUUUUACUUUCACAACAACCCUGCUGGGUAUGUUAGGUGAGAGUGAAUUACUGACCCAAAGUUACCCAGUAAGUUUCAUGGCCAUGUGGGACUAGAACCCAGUUUUCCCAUCACCCAGUCUGGCACUCUAAGUGCUACAUCACAGACUCUCUUUGUUAUUUUGUUUACUUUUUUUCCUUUCAAGGAAGUCAAGGCAGCUUACAUAAUUCUCCUCCUCUCAGUCUUAUCUUCGCAACAACAAAAACCUUAAGGUAGGUUAGCCUGAGAGGCAGUUUCUGUCCCAAAGGCACCCAGUGAACUUUGUGGCCACAUCAGGUCCCUAGUCCAACAGAUUAGCCACACUGGCUGUUUUGCACUUUUGUUUCGUUCCAGCUUUGCUCCCCUUUAAGCAUUUCCAGCAGUUCACACCACAUCCACAAUACUUGCUGGAGACCCAAGUUAGAAGAGGAGCUUAGUAUCUUUAAGUCUUGUUUAUUCAGGAUGAAGUUUCAGCUUUUGCACAUCUGUGCUGAAUUAGUUCCUUGGGCUUGCUUUCUUUUUAUUUUUUAUUUAAAAAGUGGGGACAGCUUUGCCAAAAGAACAAGUUUAUUCUAGUUCAGCUUCUCAUUGAAGGUUAGGCCAUGACUUCAGCUGAAGCAGGGACAGGUCACUACAACAUAUUGGUAUGCUGGUGUGUGCUCAGGUCUCCAAUUUACAGCCUGUUACAUCUGUACAAUUACUAAGGCCACCAGCAGUGAAAGAAAAUAUUAAUCCCUAGACUUAGUUGGCCCUGAUCAGAAUAUUCAAUGUCUUUCUCAGAGCAGGCACCUUCAGUUUCCAGAGACAGAAUAUAUUUAUGAAUACUAAGGACAGACCAGUGUUGUGUUUAUUCUUAUUAUUCUUGUUCCUUAAUUCAGUUUAUUAUCACCCUGUCCCACCAAGCAGCUCACUUUGCAUUGGGCAAAAGUCUCAAUCUCUGCAAAAUACAGAUACCUAUUUUUUGCACUGACAAUUUACACACUGGACUACAGCACACACAUACACACAGAGAACCAUAUCCAGCCAGCAUGACUUUUGUAGUCCAAGAAAUCUGGAAGCAGCUAGAUUGGGAAAGGUUGUUUUAUGUCAUAGAUCCAUUUCCCAGGACAGCAAGAAAGCAGACAAAUUCUUUCAAAAUACUGAUGGUUAUACAUUUCCUUGGUGCUUAGUUAUAUUUUUAAAUGUAAUUCUUCUACAGGCCACUUUUGCAUGCAUGCAUAUAUCUUCCCAAGUGGCCACACUAGCCAUGGGGGGUUGUAAGAGAUUCAUCCUCCAUUAAAUGAGCAGUACAUUUGAAAGACUAGUGCAACAUCUGUUAAAGGGAGGCCCUGUCUCUGGGUAAACAGGUGGAAAAUUAACUGUAUUCUGCCCUAAGAAGAUACUGAGAUUCAAAUAUUUCUAUUAAUCCUGCAUACAAACCUACUCCUGGCUCCCCUGCAUUUAAAGAUAGCCCAGAAACCAGAUAACCCAUCAAAUGGACAGCAUUCCGCCAGUGCUUGCAUCUGGUACUGGAGCAGAGUGGCUUCUACACCUAGACAGCCUUUGGGAAGCCCAUGGGACCUUGAUAUUAGUUUCCAUUUGGAAAAAUGUGGCACCUUUUCAGUGGAUAUGGCACAUACAGCUUUUCCUCCAACUUUUCUUUUUGUUAGCAAACUCACACAUGUUCUAGGUUUUAUAUAUAAAAUAGCCAAAGAUACUCAGAAUUUCAUUUCCCCACCUUUGCAUCAUCCAGUUUCCACCCUUUAACUACUUGCAUCUUCUGUCCUGAAAACUAGAUUUUCAGAAGGAAAAAAACAUGAAUUGUAUCUGUGGAAGUGCUCACUGUGGUCAUUAAUACCCUCUGUCUAGAAUACCUUCUGCUUUUCCCUGUGGAGUUCUAACAAAAUAUCCAGCACUUCUCACACAUUCUGAGAAGUGUUUGGCUGCAUAUAAUUUAGGGACUUAUAGUCUUUUAGGAGGAUAAGGAGGUGGCAGAAGCAACCACUACUUCAGAUAAGAAGCAAGACAUAUCCUAAAACAGAAUCUCCUUUUCCAAAACAUCUGUAUGUUUUCUUGAACAUCUCUGUGGGCACAGGUCACCUGUAAAAAGUUCCUCUUUCUGAGUCUGCUAAGCAAAUUUGUAUCCUGCCCAUGCAUUAAGAUCUCCACAUGUGACUCUUCUGAGUACCAAUUCGUAAAGCAUUUUUGGAUGUACCAAAUAAAGGUCCUUUUCUGUGGUGGCACCCUGAUGCCAGAACAAUAUUUGUAGGGAAGUUAAACUGGUGCUGAUGCUACUACAGUCUUUUUGGCAUCAGAGCAAAUUGGUUAUGUUUUGUACUUAUGUCCUUUUUUUCUCUUUUUUUGUUUGUUCUGUUUUAAGCCACUCAGAGAGCCCUAUGGGCUAUGGGUCGGCAUACAAAUAUAAUAAAUAAAAAUGAAAGUAAAUGUUUGUACAAGCAUUUAAAACUAGUUUAAUUGCACCUUUUCUGAUUUGUAGUUCUAUGGCCUUGUUGCCUCUUAUUUAUGUUUGAAAGAUGUUGUAUUGCACUACAUUGUUUUUAUUGUAUUCUACAUUGAGUAUGGUCUGCUGCCCUGUUAUCCAAGGGAGGACAACUAAGAAAGUAUAAACAAUAAUUUUAUAUAAACAA